AGAGUGAGGCACCCUUCUUUUUUUAGAGAGAAUCCUGUGGAAAGGGCAAGUUUCUUCAUUCUGAAAGAUGGAGAUUAUGGAAUGGAAGGAUUGGGUCUUUAGAUCUGGAUCACAUAGCAGGAGUUUAUAAUGGGGACUUACUUCCGGAAUUCAUAGUGCUUGUGCACCUCAAAUUCAGAACACUGCUGACCAAGGCGGAGUCCAGGCAGACCAUUGUGGUCUGGACACCCAAGGACAAGAGAGAUUUGUUCUUGCCAUGGCAGAUCAUCACAAGCAAGCUAUGACUCUCAAAAACCGGACAAUUUCAAGCUGCCAGUAAUCAGCAGAGACAUGCAAGCUGGAGAGCAAGCCAAGCACACACUUGACAGGGGCAAUCAAGCUGUACAUUUCGAUCUCCGCAGUGAAAUUCAGAGAGGGCCUUCCAGUCCCCCAAGGCU